GUGGGGAAUUUUGGACAAUGGGCGCAAGCCUGAUCCAGCAAUGCCGCGUGCAGGAAGAAGGCCUUCGGGUUGUAAACUGCUUUUGUACGGAACGAAACGGUCCGGGUUAAUACCCUGGGCUAAUGACGGUACCGUAAGAAUAAGCACCGGCUAACUACGUGCCAGCAGCCGCGGUAAUACGUAGGGUGCAAGCGUUAAUCGGAAUUACUGGGCGUAAAGCGUGCGCAGGCGGUUUUGUAAGACAGGCGUGAAAUCCCCGGGCUCAACCUGGGAAUUGCGCUUGUGACUGCAGUGCUGGAGUGCGGCAGAGGGGGAUGGAAUUCCGCGUGUAGCAGUGAAAUGCGUAGAUAUGCGGAGGAACACCGAUGGCGAAGGCAAUCCCCUGGGCCUGCACUGACGCUCAUGCACGAAAGCGUGGGGAGCAAACAGGAUUAGAUACCCGAGUAGUCC
rnacentral:rRNA from 1 species